rnacentral:tRNA from 1 species
GGGGAUGUGGCUCAGGAGUAGAGUUUGUGCCUUGCGUGCACAAGGCCCUAAGUUCGAUUCCCAGCACUCCCU